rnacentral:rRNA from 1 species
GGAAGGGGUGUAUUUAUUAGAUAAAAAACCAAUGCCCUUCGGGGCUUCUUGGUGAUUCAUGAUAACUUUACGGAUCGCAUGGCCUUGCGCCGGCGACGGUUCAUUCAAAUUUCUGCCCUAUCAACUUUCGAUGGUAAGGUAUUGGCUUACCAUGGUUUCAACGGGUAACGGGGAAUUAGGGUUCGAUUCCGGAGAGGGAGCCUGAGAAACGGCUACCACAUCCAAGGAAGGCAGCAGGCGCGCAAAUUACCCAAUCCCGACACGGGGAGGUAGUGACAAUAAAUACUGAUACAGGGCUCUUUUGGGUCUUGUAAUUGGAAUGAGUACAAUUUAAACCUCCUAACGAGGAACAAUUGGAGGGCAAGUCUGGUGCCAGCAGCCGCGGUAAUUCCAGCUCCAAUAGCGUAUAUUAAAGUUGUUGCAGUUAAAAAGCUCGUAGUUGAAACUUGGGCCUGGCUGGCGGGUCCGCCUCACCGCGUGCACUCGUCCGGCCGGGCCUUCCUUCUGAAGAACCUCAUGCCCUUCACUGGGCGUGCUGGGGAACCAGGACUUUUAC